CUCACAUGCAAACCCAAGAAUUGCAGUUGCUCUAAACAGUGGUGCUAAGAGGCGGCGAAGGUCGUCACCUUUUGGGGCUUGUGCUGUGCCCUCCAGAGUGAACGUGGAUGUCCUACACCC
rnacentral:snoRNA from 1 species